GUCCGAAGAUGGUCGUGCAUUUGUCGUGCAUUUGCCGUUCACUUCACUGAUGCUACAGUUUCUAGCCAGGGUGUUGAUUUGAUUCAUCAAGGAUGAAAUAAGAAAGGUCAAAGUGUCAAAAGGGGAGUUCAAAAUUCAUGCAAUCUACAGAUCCCGUCCAGGUUUUGUACUCCCUAAGUUAUAUUUAUUUAUUUCAAUUUAGUUGGUCGAUUUAGUCUCACCAUUUCAUGUUCAUCUCAUUGAUUGGACAAUAUCUAUUCAUUGAUUUCAUAACUUACAGUCUCACAUACUUGCAUUUGUUAUAGUCAAGUGAUGUUCUACCAAUUGUAUGGAUAUCAACUGUUUCCUAUUCUCUUUGUUUUAGUGUUGGUUUGAGUUUGCUA